AAACACCCUGACAAUCACCAAGGAAGAUUGACUACACCGAGCUGUUUACAAGAUGCUUUUGAUGGUGACAUAUAGAGCAACAUGUGUUACACAAUGAAACAGAUCCAGAGAGAUGGACUGACCUUGCCCAUGACUCACAGAAAGUGACCAACCUAGCAAGCCUAGGACCCCAGACUGCCAUGAAAACAUCCACAUGUACAUGGUGUGGCGGCUCAUUUACAAAAAGGAGCUGCUAUUAUUGCCAUCUUGGCUAUCUGUGAUGCUUGCAACUCAUCGGGGCUCCUCGGGGCACAGGACUCCAGGACCGACUCUCCAGCACCGCCUCUCCAUCGCCAGUUCUUGCUACUAACCGCUGCCUUCUUGGAGGGUUUUCAUUUCCCAGUGUACACUUUCAGCGCAUAGAAUGUGCAUAUUAUAUUCAAAGGUUUCCUGUCACUUAAGUAGUAACGUCUUAGUUUUCUCUUAAGCUCUCACACCCAGCACACUGCCUGACAGAGAGCAUUUGUGAAAGGGUGCAUGAACUACACAGAAGUGAACUGAUGUGAGCUUUUUAUAUGUACACCUAAAAGUAAACGUUUUCAGAAUAUCAUGAUGGAGGGAACCAGAUUGCUGUUAUCAAACACACCUAGAUUCUGCAUCAUACAACCAGGUAUAACCUCUUAGUUCCCCUUCAGGUCAUCCCAGAAAGAUUAAACUGCAGCACUGAAAAAGUUCUGCAUAAUCAUUACUGAUAAUAUAUUGCAUAAAGCUAGAAAUUCUCCAAAUAAAAAAAGUCUAAGAAUAUAAUCUGGAAAAAUAGGGGGCCCUUUCCCAACCAAGCUUCUGCUCCUUGAGAACAUUCUACCACAGUAUAUAAUAUGAAAGUAUUUUUGUCUGGUUUUGAUAUCAGGAUCAUAUCAGAUUCAUCAAAUGAACAAAGAUAUCACUCACCAGGAUAACCAACACAUAGAGAAGAUAUGAAACACUUCCAGCAUCCAGGUCUACGCUUCCAACUGCAGCAUGAAGAAUGGACUGGAAGUAGGCAGAAGAUGAAGGAGAGGAUCUGUUAGGAAGCUACUGCGGUAUCCAGACGAGAAACAAUUGCAGCCUAGACUAAAAUUCUGGCUUUGAAGGUAUACAGAAGUGGAUGAGAUAUUUGAAGAUACUUAUUGGAGGUGGAAUCAACAGCAUUCAUUGAUGGAUUAAACAUGGAGAAUGAGAGAAAAGAGGAAUGAGGAAUGAUUCACAGGUUUCUUGCUUGAGUAAUUGGGUGUAGAGUGGUUCCCUUUACUAAAAUGAUGGAAGUCUGGAAGAGGAAAACGUUUCAGGAGAGAGAACCAGGAGUCUAGGGUAUACAUACGACAUUUCAGACAAAGGUUUCCUGGAUGAAAAAUCUAGGUGGUCAUUUGUCCUGCAAAAAUAAGAAGAUAUUUUGGGAGGGCAACCAGGCACAUUCAAGCUCCAUGGCAUGAUACCCAUGCAGUGAGGCCUUUGCCUAAUAUGGGCCUGGCACUGUCAGAGGUACCAAGAAUAUGAGACUGAGUAAGUUCUUGUCCCAGGAAAUUAAUCAGAGGAAAAGACAAUGUAAUAGAUAAUCACAAAGCAGUGUAACAAUUUUCACGUGAUAUUUACUCCAUAUUAUCUGCACAGGGCAUUGAGGGGAUAGGGAGAUGCUUGGGAUGGAGAGUCAGGCUCAUAGACGGCCUUCUAGAAUAGUUGAUCUCCAAAGAAAGGAUAAGCUGGACAGCCUUCUGGAAGGUGGAAGACAGUCAAGAGGAGAGAGGUUAUUUGGGGAGAAGAAACAGGACAGCCUCAGUAAGACACAGAGACAAUAUGUUAUGUGUGGUUAAUUAAAGUGCUUCCAAUUAUAGAACAAGGAGAGGGCAGGGAAAAGAAGGGAAAGCCGAAACCUGAAGGGUCCUGUAUUUCACAAUAAAAGGAUUAUUAUAUCAUCCUAUGGGGAUGGAGGAGCAGAACACUUACAAUGUUUCAAAUAGGAAGGGACAUGCUAGACAGAUUUGUGUUUUAGAUGGAUGGUUCUGGCAGUGGUGUGGAGAU
ensembl:lncRNA novel transcript, antisense to ZNF521